rnacentral:lncRNA from 1 species
UUUGGGCUUAAAUGGGCGUAUUGAGCUCCAUUUUAUGUGUGCAAACACAGUAGAUUUCUUCGUCUUCUUCCUUCUUCGUCUUCUUCCUCCCCAUUUUACUGCAAUGCAACCCAACCUCGACAGUUCGCCGCCGCCGCCAUGGUGAGCCGCCUCCUUCAUGCUGGGUCAUCAACCAGAAAGACCCUCCUUACCUUCCAUUCAUGCGUAGUCCCCAAAGUGUUCUCCACCGCCUGCAGGAAAAGCCAGUUUCCACCGCCGCCGGUGGCCAAGAAGGUUCCUUUCGCUGCAACCGCGCAUGGGUUGACGUGGCAAGACCCGUACCGUUGGAUGUCCAACACCAGCGACCCGGAUUUCAUCAGCUACAUAAACCAAGAGAACUCCUACGCCGAUGCAUUUAUGCGAGACACCUUACAACUGCACAACACACUUUAUUCCGAGAUGGUUUCCAGAUUGCCCCCCGAUAUCACCACCCCUCCUGAACGUUGGGGUCCCUGGUUCGUAAUUUCACUCCAUCGCGCCAAGCUCUAUGUAAAUUGAUUCUUAAAAUAGCAAUCUCUGAGGUUGAAUUUCCUACUUGUCUGUGUAUGUAGCUCUUCACGCUUUUGCUCAAUAUUUCUGUGUGCAUAAAGUUUUCAAUGUUUGGAAAUUUGCUUUAGUAUGCAUACAUUGGAAGUCUGCUGUGUUUUGAGGGUUUGAUUAAUCAUCAUAUAUGUAGUCUAAUGCAAUGUUUAACCAAAGUAAUCGUAGGCUAGCUUUAGCUCGUAUUAAUUUUCUUCAACUGUUGUGUGGCGAUAUGCUAACUUAGAGGGUGUUUGGCUAAGCUUAUUUUAGAGAUCUUAUAAGCUCCAACAUCCUGCCUUAAAGCGAAUCUGCAAAAUGAAUUUCAUAGUGAUUUUAUUUGUGGAUUGAAUAGGUUGUAUUACCAGUGCAUUCCCGAGGGGAAGGAGUAUCCCAUCUUAUAUAGGAAACCGGCAGUUGAGAGAAAGGGUUGGGCAGAAAUGAUUUUCAGUUCCUCCAGAGGAGUAUUUGGCCGGGAACAAGUGUUGCUCGACUGGAAUGAGAUUGCAGAAAAACAUGGCAAGUGAUUCUAACUCAUCAUUUCCUAUUCAUCUGAAAAUUUCUUUCUAAGUUUACAACUAUUCAAUUUGGUUUUCAAUCAUCCUUGACUCUCGUGAUCUGAGCAUUCAUCUUGCAUUACCAGCAAAAUGUUCCAUCUUUGAUAAACCAGCGAGUAAUUUACUUGCGGAUACAUGUAUUAAAAUGUGAGAAUUUAUUUUUGUAGGAUAUGUCCAUGUAAAUACCUGCAGAGUAUCACCAGACCACAGGUUUCUUGCAUAUACAGUUGACACUAAAGGNAUUAGUUAAAAAAAACACAUUAUAUAAAUAAAAGAGUAAAAUUUUGAAGUAGACCAAAAUGAAGCAAUAAAACACAAUUUAUGGCCACACAUUGAAAACACAAAUUUUGGCCAUUUUAUUGAUUUGGACAUUUUUGCCCUUGAUGAGGCGGACUGGGUAGGAUCAGGCACGCGGGUCGCGUGCCGGGUCGGGUUAGGCACUUAUGGCACUAUUAGUGCCAUAAGUGCCAUCGGAAAUCCAAAAUAAAACUAAGUAAAAUAGUCAUUUUGGCACUUAUGGCACUAAUAGUGCCAUAAGUGCCAACGAAAAUUCAAAAUAAAACUAAGUAAAAUGGUCAUUUGGGCACUUAUGACACUAAUAGUGCCAUAAGUGCCAUACGUGCAGCACAAAUACAGAAACAACAACAUCAUUUAAACCCUAAAUGGAACAUCUAAACCCUAGGGGGAAGUGUGCACUUAUGGCACUAAUAGUGCCAUAAGUGCCAUACGUGCACAGACGAUCAGCACAGAUCAGAUCAGAUCAGAUGAUCUGCCGCCGCCGCCGCCUCAUCAUCCGCCACCCUGACCAAUCCCUCCUCCACGCGUUUCAGAGGAUCGGAUCUCCUCCACCCGCCGCCGCCUCCAUCCUCUACUCCGACGAAUCUGCUGCUGACUUCUGCUUGGCGCCGCUGCGAUCAGAUCAGCUUGGCACCGCCGCUGCGAUCAGAUCAGCUGCGAUCAGAUCUGCUCCGGUGACUUCUGCUCGGCGCCGCUGCCGCGUAGCCGCUGGAGAGAGAGAGAGAGAUGAGCCGCUGAGAGAAGAGAGAGGAGCCGCUGGAGAGAGAGAGAGGGAGAUGAGAAAGAGAGAGGAAAGAGAGAGAAUGGUAGAAUAGUCAUGACAUACAAAAAAUGGCUAAAAUUUAUGUUUUUUCAAAUGGUGGACAAAAUUUGAUGUUGUAUGUUGAAUAGGACCAUUCGGCCCUAUUGUUUCUUUAUGGAGGUUCAUUUAUUUAUUUAUUUUUUGGAGGAAAAGUAUGUUCACUGUUGGGCCACAUUUUGGGCUUAAAUGGGCGUAUUGAGCUCCAUUUUAUGUGUGCAAACACAGUAGAUUUCUUCGUCUUCUUCCUUCUUCGUCUUCUUCCUCCCCAUUUUACUGCAAUGCAACCCAACCUCGACAGUUCGCCGCCGCCGCCAUGGUGAGCCGCCUCCUUCAUGCUGGGUCAUCAACCAGAAAGACCCUCCUUACCUUCCAUUCAUGCGUAGUCCCCAAAGUGUUCUCCACCGCCUGCAGGAAAAGCCAGUUUCCACCGCCGCCGGUGGCCAAGAAGGUUCCUUUCGCUGCAACCGCGCAUGGGUUGACGUGGCAAGACCCGUACCGUUGGAUGUCCAAC